UUUAGGUGUUGGAACAGGGAGAUAAGCAUUUAAUUUCACUGGUGCUUACCAACUCCACUGAUCCAAAUUAAAUCAGGAACUUCUUGGUAAUUUGGACUCUCACAUAUUGGUACUCAAACAUUACAUAGGUUGUCCUUGAUUAAUUUAUAGGACACAGUCAACCUAGUUCUAGGAAAUAAUGUUUCUUGGGAUCAGUAGCCUUUGGUAGAAUUAAGUGUGAACAAAUUUCUUAGAAAUGA